rnacentral:rRNA from 1 species
GUGGGGAAUAUUGGACAAUGGGCGAAAGCCUGAUCCAGCCAUGCCGCGUGUGUGAAGAAGGUCUUCGGAUUGUAAAGCACUUUAAGUUGGGAGGAAGGGCAGUAAGUUAAUACCUUGCUGUUUUGACGUUACCAACAGAAUAAGCACCGGCUAACUUCGUGCCAGCAGCCGCGGUAAUACGAAGGGUGCAAGCGUUAAUCGGAAUUACUGGGCGUAAAGCGCGCGUAGGUGGUUUUGUAAGUUGGAGGUGAAAUCCCCGGGCUCAACCUGGGAACUGCCUCCAAAACUGCAUGACUAGAGUACGGUAGAGGGUAGUGGAAUUUCCUGUGUAGCGGUGAAAUGCGUAGAUAUAGGAAGGAACACCAGUGGCGAAGGCGACUACCUGGACUGAUACUGACACUGAGGUGCGAAAGCGUGGGGAGCAAACAGGAUUAGAAACCCUUGUAGUCC